GCCGGAGUGGCGAAAUUGGUAGACGCGCCGGACUCAAAAUCCGGUGCUAGAGAUAGCGUGUCGGUUCAAGUCCGACCUCCGGUA
rnacentral:tRNA from 1 species